rnacentral:lncRNA from 1 species
UGUGACUAUUUGUUGUGAUGAGGGAAUGUUGGUCUAAGGAUAAUAGUACGGGUCGCUGGGAAGACUGGUUUAAUUGAGGCACGUUGGUAGGAUUAUUAGGGUCAGCCAUAUAUAUAUAUAUAUACACAAACCAAGAUAGAGGAGCAAGUGAUGAAGACGUUAAAUGAAAGACACAGUUACUUUUUAUUGGAAGUUUAUAGCAUUAUGAGUGGGUUUGUAGGGUUCUAGAU